rfam:Pachysolen tannophilus NRRL Y-2460 unplaced genomic scaffold PACTA_scaffold_10, whole genome shotgun sequence.
GAGAGCUGUAUGCAUUGAAAGAUGCACGUACAGUUCGGGAAAGGAUUUUUAAUAAAUCAUUUAUUAAUAAAAAAAAAAUAAAUGGGGAUUAAUCUUCUAUUUCAC